rnacentral:rRNA from 1 species
UACAGAGGUCUCAAGCGUUGUUCGGAUUCAUUGGGCGUAAAGGGUGCGUAGGCGGCGCGGUAAGUCGGGUGUGAAAUCCCCAGGCUUAACCUGGGAACUGCAUCCGAUACUGGAUGGCUUGAAUCCGGGAGAGGGAUGCAGAAUUCCAGGUGUAGCGGUGAAAUGCGUAGACAUCUGGAGGAAUACCGGUGGCGAAGGCGGCUCACUGGCCCGGUACUGACGCUGAGGCGCGAAAGCGUGGGGAGCAAACAGG